CCAUGACGAUUCAAAAAGUCUCUACCAAUGAUAAGAUCUGUCGUCAAAACGUUAUCUUGCAAGACAUGCAAAGAAAUCGGCAGUUUCAAAUGUGGCAACUGACUGAACGAAAUCAAGAUUUAUGAACGAUAUCGGACUACCGGUAUCAAGCAGAGCUGACAGCAAGCAAACUGAACUCUCUAGGAAUAUGACUUUUAACGGCGCGUCGUGAAAGUGAAUAGAUUUCGGACUAGAAUUUACGAACGCUAUCGUUGAUGGCUUGUCGACUUCCACCGAAAAAACAGAUGAAGACGAUGGCGUCGCUGCUGCUGAGUUGGUUUCCUUUGGCGCUGUUUUUGGUGGCAGCCUCCUUGGUCUUGGGAGCCUUCAGAUCUGCAGUAGAUUUCCUGUCUAGAUCUGCGGAAACGGAAGUAAUCUGAUGCAUUGCGUCCAAAAAUUUAUCAACUGAUUCAGACCUCAACGCAGCGGCUGUCUCGCUUAGUGAACGAUUAAGAAUGCCGCUGAUAAUCAAGUGAAUUGCGCUG